GGGGAAUAUUGCACAAUGGGCGAAAGCCUGAUGCAGCAACGCCGCGUGAGUGAAGAAGGUUUUCGGGUCGUAAAGCUCUGUCCUCAAGGAAGAUAAUGACGGUACUUGAGGAGGAAGCCCCGGCUAACUACGUGCCAGCAGCCGCGGUAAUACGUAGGGGGCUAGCGUUAUCCGGAAUUACUGGGCGUAAAGGGUGCGUAGGUGGUUUCUUAAGUCAGAGGUGAAAGGCUACGGCUCAACCGUAGUAAGCCUUUGAAACUGGGAAACUUGAGUGCAGGAGAGGAGAGUGGAAUUCCUAGUGUAGCGGUGAAAUGCGUAGAUAUUAGGAGGAACACCAGUUGCGAAGGCGGCUCUCUGGACUGUAACUGACACUGAGGCACGAAAGCGUGGGGAGCAAAC
rnacentral:rRNA from 1 species